CCAACACCGCCGGCUGAUUGGCUGAGAUUUGCCGCAGUUCCGCCCCUUCGCCGGGGCCCGUCCAGCCGCGCGCGCUGCCUCAGCGCCCGCUUCCGCGCAACGGCCGUUCCGGUGCCUCACAGCGGCCGUUCCCUCAGCGGGCGCUUCUGCGCAGCGGCCGUUGCCCCCAGCCGCCGGUUCCCCCAGAAUGGUCGUUUCCUCGUAAUGGCCGUUCCGUUUCCUCACAAUGCCCGGUCCCCAGCGGCUCCUCCCGCCGCGGAUUCGCCCCUUCCAGGCGGGCAGGUCGCUGGGAGCAGCUCGUGGAGAGGUUCUGCUUGGAAACUGGAGGCAGCGCAGAGGGACCUGGGCCCUGGCUCAGGAAGAACGAGCACUAGAGGGCAUCAAACACACGAGAGUGCGACCAGGAACCCGCCUUGUCUUGCCGGGGGAGGGACUCGCAGUUCUAGGACUGGGAUUCUUUUCUGAAAGGAUGUGGUGCAGACUCCCCACUAAAACCUGCAAGACUCAAGAUGGUACAAACAGACGAGGAAUGCAGCGUUCCCCAUGCUGCCUCCGACAAACUGCAUCUUUUCUUGCUUUUUGGGAAACCUGGCAGGAGAACUGCAGGGGGAGUGGCCCUCCCGUUGCCUUCUGGUCCCACUUUCCUCCAUCUCCAGGAAUAUAAAUAAUCUUGUGAGUGAUAUCAAACAUUUCCAAAAAACAUACGUUGAAAGCAUGAAGCACUCGAGAUCCUCUGCCCAAACAAACUCCUCCCCUCCCUGCUCUCCACAUUUUGGUGAGCGCUCAGGCAGCCUCAGCGUUUGGCUAAUGAGCGGUGCCAGAUGGCUGUAAAUAUGUUCAGAAUCCUCCUUACCCGCUUCCCCUCUCCCCGGCACCCUCGGCGCUCCGCCCCGCCGCACGCACCUGCUCCGUUCCAAUCCCAGACUCUCCCUUCUACCCUCUUGAUCAAAAUUGGCACCUGGCGUUUUUAUUUUCCCUUCAAACGAAACAAGAAGUUCGCUGGGACUGUUUGGUGCCAGGUGACACUCGCUCACAAUCACUUCCACCGGUGCCUGGUGACUAAUGUGCCCCUUCCUGUCCCGUGGCUGUUCCUAUGUCUGAACCUCACUUCGUUUCUGCAGAAUUCCUGUCCUGGAGCACUGCAGGUCCAGAUCCCCUGCGGGGAACCACAAGGGCAUAGCAGCUUCUUCCUCUUCUGACACCAGAGAUUUCACGCUUGCCCUUUGCAUGGAGGUAAAUGGCAAAGGGAAUGAGGUGAUUCAUCCCAAAUCACGCACCGAGGAACUGGCACAGUCACUCUGCUUAAACGGUCCCUUUUGUCCUCGUGGUCACUGAAUUUAUGAAGGUCCAGCUGAAGUGACAAGAAUUGCUGUAUGAUGAGAGUUUCAUGUGACCAUGUAUCUUCUUCUUUUUCCUCUGAAUUCAUGAAUGUUCUUACAGCACGUUGUCACUGAAGGCGGGCACUUCUUUGUAAUGGAAACAUUUCUAAACUGCUAAGCAGCAAGAAAAGGAUGCAAAGCUGUAUAGAGGCACCGUGAAAGGGGAAGCUGUUUUUGAGGCGUCUUAAAAUACAGACAGUGACAUUUCAAAAACAAAAGCUGAACAAGGUCACAAGCUGUCUGAGAGCCUGAGGAAAGCUGCAGCAGCACAGGUUCUGGGGCGCGAGCAGCGUGACUGCGCUGUUGGGCUGAGACAUCCAUGGGUUAGCAUGGGUUAGCUUUCCCAGUGCUUGCACUUGCGCUGUCCCCCGCGGUUUGUGCAGCGUGGUCGCCCGCUCUGUGCUGUGCGGCAGAUGCUCCGGUUUGCUGCAGCGUGGGAGACUCUGGCCCUCGCUCUCACUCUGCUUCCACCUCUGGUGUGUUUUAGAGUUCGAUCCUUUCGGUAGGAGCUUGUGCGCACAGGUGGGAACAGGAGUCACAGAAUCAUCCAAUUGUUUUGGUUGGAAAAGACUUUCAAGAUGAUCAAGUCCAAGCGCUAUUGAAAGGCUGCCUGGUUCGUGCAGUCCCUGCAGGGAUCGAUACGCAGAGUUGGCGCCUGGUGACAGGUCUCUGCUCAUGACUCCGUUUCUAGACUGUUACAUAAGGCACGGGGAGGCUGCUGCUCCGAACCUUCCUCUUCCUGCCAGCACACGGUCCGAUUUCUCGGAGAUUUUGCCUCGUGCUGAGUUAACUCUUCACUGAAAGGGGGAAACAGAUGGCAGGAGGCAAAUUUGCUUAGAUGACUUGAACAAGGAGACAGAUAAACUGAUUUUCCAAGUGAUAUAUUUGACGUGGAGGCCAAGUGUUAUUUUUUUUGAGUCUUGUUGAUAGAGCUUUAUCAAUUUGCUUUCCUACCAAUAGACACAGACCUUGAAAAAGUGACCUGGGGAGGCUCAGAAGGCAGCGCCGCUCCGGCCGCGCUUCCCCGAGCACCCGUUGCUGUCCAGUGCCAUCAGCACGACUCCCAGACCGGACCGCAGAGAAAAACACGGUAGAGAGCGCUGAGAUUAAAUAUAGCAGCGAGUGGGCUGGCAGGAGGAACACUCGGCUCCCGGGAAGUGGGAGGCCGUGCUGAAGAAAUCAAGUGACUUGCUUAUGUUGCAGCAUAAACAGGAACAGAACCCGGCUUGCCUGGUGCUGGUUCUAACCUUCAGGCAACGCUGCUUCUCCAGCGCGACGGGAGCGCGUUUUUGAAGGAAAAGGGUGAAGAUACGACUCUUGAGGCUCUGCAUGGAUGGCAAGAGUCGUUCUACCACCUAAGAACCACAGGCAAUCCUCGCAAACAGGAAAAUGUGCAUUUUUCCUCCUUUGACAGCUCUGCAAUGCGUUUGCCAUGACUGAGUCCAUCUGCAGGGAGUUCCUCCUUCCAGUAAUGAUGUCCACAUCUCUGCGGGGCCGUUCGAUCAAUGCCGGCCCUUUGCCUACUGUUGAGUGUCAGACUGGAGGCCCCUGAUCCUUGGGGCUCUGAAUGCCCCGCUCUGUGCGCUGCCGUGCGUCUGUGGGCUCUUUAUUCUCCCCGCGGCGCUGUGAAACGGCUCGUUCUGCCGGGGCCCUGGAAGGAUCAAUCAUCGCUCGGACACGUAACCGCCGAGCCGCUCGUGUCGCGAGGGGCCCAUCUCAGCGCUGUGAACUCUGGCCUGUGCGACCUCUCCCAAACAGUCAGACAACUCAUCACGAUGCUUUCUGAAUUGUCUUCCCAAUGAGCGGGAGGAGCUGUUUUAAAAAAGAGCAAAAGAGUUCUUUAAAAAACUAAAAAUGAAUGCAGUGGAAGGCUCCCGAUAGUUUUCAGUCCCCUGGGGACGUUUUAUAAAGUCAAACCAAAUGGAUGUGUCUGAAAAUACAGCAGAUGAUUUGCCAUUCUUGUGCUGUUUCCAAAAAGUAUAACUCGCAGCUCCGCUUUUCAACCUUUUCCUAUAGCGCUCGUGUUAAAGAGCAGAAUUGUCCCAACGCCGCCCCUGACCUGCCCGAAGGGAAGGGAUCCUGGAGCGGAGCGACGGAACUCCCACCAGCAGCUCUUCUCAUUAACCAACGUGUAUAGAUGUAUAUAUGUGUGUGUAUGUAUUUGCUUUUUCAUCAGUUUGCUUUCCUUUGUAUCACUUUUCAUCCCCGCCGCGGUUUCCUGGCGGCCAGAGAACCACUUUGGCUUCUGCUCCAAACCGGAGUUGGGAAGGAGGUGCAGAAGCCCCGGGGAAGGGAAGAAGGAAGACGAGAGAAGCAAGAGAAGGAAGCUGAGGAAGAGACAGUGGGAGAACAGGGGAGUCUGUCCGUGCGGCCUGGAUCUCAACACCCGCCAGUCAAACCGGGCGCUUGUAACGCGCGGACGUUCCGUGCACACAACCAGAACCCGUUGUGUGCCCUGUGGGUGACACAGCACCGGGUGACGCCCGGAAAAGAGGGAAACCGUGAGUCAGAACCCACAGCGGAAGAUUUCACGUGGAAAGACACCAGUUCACGGGGAUGAGUCUGUAAAGAGACUGGGUGAAGGUGCCAAAGAGCCGUAAUUCUUCCUUCGAGAGUCCAUCUGGCACAGACUGCGCAAAGGCAGCAAUUAGGACAGGAAGGCAGGAGGUAACGAAGGGAAAUGAGGAGAGGGGCUGAUUGAGAGCAAUUAAUAGGAAUUAGUUUUAUGAAGUGCAAGAAACACGGAACGAAGAAAGGCAACUUGAGGCAGAAAUUCCUGUCAGUUUGAAGGGCACAAUAACUGUAUUUAGGGAAAAGGAAUCCUAGCAAUGGUCUUUUUUAAUAGGUGGAGAGAUGCCGGUGUUCAGAAUUAUGCAGGAAAAGCCAGGAAUUGUUAAUAAAUGUUUCUCCCUGAGGUUUGAAAGAGUCGAGGAUGGUGUGGCAGUCACGCGUGCAUCCAGGGUACGCUGCCACACGUGUAAUGAAACUGAGUUGUUUCCUUUUUCUUUAGGGAAGUGGAUCUGUUCAUGCUGAGCUUUAAUUUGAAAAGCUGGUUGGAACUUGUGAAGUCCGUAAUUAUUCUGGCGAAUGUAGGUCAAACUGGUUUCUAUUUUCUCCCUGUGUCUCCUGGGGCUCGGGCGAGGAUUCGGCACUCAGGUUCUCCACGGUUCACCAGGCUCUUGGUGAGUGAGGUACGGCCAUCCCUACCACAGCAGAAGCAGCGGAGAGCUCCCAGUGAAACACACUCCUAUGUGCUUAAGCCUAAAGAUUCAGCUACAGCUGCUGGUACAAGUGGCCAGAAGAUAAUUCCCCAGCUCCGAGAACACAAUGCAAGGCGUUCAAACCCACCGGUGUGAUUCAGAGUGGAUGCCGAGUGUAUUAAUGGCCCGGAUUUCAGCUGGGAUAUCAGUAGCCUGUAGCUUUCCACCUCCCGCAGUCCUCCAGAAAUAGAUCUCGCCUCAGCAUUUUAAGGCAUUUGCCUUAUUAGAGAAAAACACCCCAACGGCUUCUCUCAUCAGUAACUCCAAGAAGCAUUUCUGCGCAGGAGGAGCCAUGGGCUGAGCAGAAAACUGCUGUCUGUCCACCCGCCCCAGCAGCCGCUGCCGUUAGUCACCGUGGGUUCUGCUCCGUCCUGGCCUUUGCUUGCUUUUCUUGCCCCUUUAAUGCAGUGAAAGGCUCGAAACUGCUGGAGCAAUAUGGUUUUAGCCACCAUUUUAUCCACCCAAAUUCUGUUAGUGUGAACUGGACGCGGAGCACUGGUGUCUAAACGCCACAGGCCUGCUGCUGCUUUAUCCCAAAGUCUUUCACCUCGCUCCAAGUGGGUGUAAAUUCUAUUUAUAGCCACCAAAAGCCUCUUCAUAGUCGUCUUCUGCUGUAGAGAGGCCUUGCGGUGAUUCAGAAAUUUGCAGCUGCUCUCUUUAUCUGCGUUUGCAUUGAGUUAUUGACUCUGAGGGGCAUUUGCAACCUGAUCCGAUCCCUGUGAAGUGUAAGGAGAAGCAUUUCUUGUCAACCCCCUUCUCCCCACCGUGCCUGUGUGCUCAAGGCAGAGUUGUGCACGAACAGGAUUCCCUGGCCAUUAGCAGCCUUCAAAACGGUUCUUUGGCCAGGGCGCUCUUUAUUCUUAUAACAACACAACAUUUUCUGUCCGUGGAGCUGACACAGUGGCCACGCUGGACAUGGCAGCUCCUCGUCGGGCUCUUUGUGCGGCGUUAUCCCCGCAUGGCUGGGCCCCCAGAGCCGGCGUGCGCCGCACAAAGCGCCUCUGUGCUCCUUGCGCUCCGUCUGGGCUCAGCACGGCGUGCCGGCGGCUCUGGACUCGCCAGCGGGGACCUCCGGGGGGAAACGGGAGCCAAGGCUGGGCCUGGAGCGCUGGGCUGAGCUUGGACAUGAAGACCAGAGUCAGUGCCCACAAACAGGCACUUUGGGAAGCUGCACUGCUCCUAGAGCAAGAAGGAAAGCAGAGGUGAGGCUCCUGAAGAGCUCAACACACCCGCAGGCAAAAGGAAUUCCAUCCCGGCUCUUUAAAGCUCUUCUCAGCACGUUUGGGAUUCCUGUUGCUCCCCAGUCCAGCAUAGACAGUUGUCAGUUGUUUCUCAACUUACCGCCUCUGCUUUUCCAAGUUCUGCGUGAGACUGAACACAGAACUUUGGAAAACUCUUCAGAUCUUUCCAGACUCACAGAAUAAAAUCUGUGCAGCCUGUUCUUUAGACUUCUGAAAUGUCUCAGAACAACGUUUGAAUGCCGAGGGCUCACCCAGAGGAGUCGAGACACGGAGCUUCUUAAGAUGUUAGAUUUUAAUGUUAAAAAUGUAAAAAUAGUCCCUUUUUUUGGUGACAAAUCGCUGGGCAGCUUUCCGCCCCAUUGCAGACACGUGUCCUGCGGUCGGUUUGAACGCGCGGUUCCGUGUGUUUGUGUCGUGGCGCAUGGUUCCUGCCCCCACCCGCUGCCCAGCUCGCUGCCACCGUGUCUGUCUGUCUGUCUGUCAAAUAUCUGUGGACUUCUCUAGGGAAAAUGAUUCCCUGUGGAAACCUUGUUCUCCAUCAGCCUGCGCAUCGGCUCAGAGCCUGUCUGGGGUACGAGACCACAGGAACGAGCGUACCCAGCUGGUUGUGUCCCUGCCCCAGCUCCUCCCGCCGCCCGUGCUUUAUCCUCAGUUUGACCAGGGGUUUGGAAGCGGGCUGCGGGACUCGUGUGCGGCUGUUGAGAUAGGAACCCAGAAACAGCACAUUCCGUAGGAUUUACAAGCGAGCCCAGAGAUCAUGGAAGCCAUGGGAGACCUUAAAAUCAAUCAAAAUAAAGAAAGCUGCAGCAGACGGGACCCGUGCCCCGCGCUCUGUACAUGUGGAAGGUUCAAUUUACAGAAAAAUCAGUGCAGAUUUCUUUCCAAAAGCAACAACCCAUUCCGUUAUCCCCCCCCAGCCCCCUCGGUAAGAAGAGGAAAGGAGAACCUGAAAUACAAGUCAAAGAGCAAAAGAAGGGGUGGAUCAAGCAUCGAUCAAAUCAAUAUCGUGUUUAUAAACACUCCUUUGAGCAGCUGCAGCAGAAAAUAGCACCUUCAGAGCCCCUGGUGUGACGUGUGGGAACCGAGGAGGUUCAGGGAGUGUGAGACAUGAACGAUGCUUCGUAUGGACAAGAAUCAGCUCCUCCAACUUCAUUCGCAAAUGAUUUGAUUCCUUUGACUAUGGGCUAGAGAAAAGUGAAAGAGGAGAGUGUUCUUUUCUCCCAUAAGGGUUAGUUUGGGGGAUUUAAAGGGAUUUUGGACCAUCCUCUGAUAUCGGGGGUUUUGUUCUUGUGGCUCAGAUACAAAUAGCUCUGGAAACCAUUAGUUAUUUGGGGGGUCUGAGGCUUUUUCACAGUUUUGCCCAUUGAAAUCUGGUGCCGGUUUGGUGGGCAGAGAAGGGCGGAGGUGCCGGACGGGGGUGGUUUCUGCUCUACAUGUGAUGGGAGGUGAAUUCCCAGAAAUCGGGAACGUUGAACUCUUCUAGGAUUUGCCGUUUCGAUGAAUGUUCUCGUUGUAAGUGUGACACGAGGUGAGCGCUGAGUCUGAGCAAAGGGCUUUGGGGCGCGUCCCUGAAGGAGAAGCCGGGAGUGAUUUUCUGCAGCAAACGCAGGCUGGAACUCUCCUUUGCGAAAAGGAGCUUGAAUCCCCCCCACAGCUCAACAGCCGAGUCCCUGACUCGUGUUGUGGGCCAGCAAGCCCAGCAGCCCCCCUGCCCUUGCAGCUCACACUGCAGCUCUCGCAGCAUCACUGCGGGUUCCCGACUCAGCUCUUCGGUCUGCAGGGAAUCGAGGCUCCUGCUCUUCGCGUCCGUUUGUAAACUGAUGUGCGGCUGCGUGUUCCCCGUGGCGGGGCCGGUUCCUCUGCCCCCAUGGGCUGAAGCGUUUCGGUGUCCAAGGGACUUUGCCUUUUGGGCCACUUGCAUAAUAAAACUCACACAGGCUCCUGAAGCCCCAAACUCUCACACAGAAUCUGCUGGAGUCCUUUCCAAAGGUUCUGGUGGCAAUGGAAGGAUGGUUCCCUUCCAUCAGUGACUCGGGGUGCUGCGGUACAGAGGGGAGAACUUUGCGCAAUUUAGAUUUUUAAAGAAUGAUAAUAAAAGAGGGCAGAACUCCAGCCCACGCAGGAGAAGGCAGCGAGAUCUCCCAGCCCUGCGUGUCUGCGCAGGAUCCAGAGGCUCCUGAUGGGUUUCUAGGUACUUCUGUGCGGGGACCGGACCUGGGGACUCUGCUACUGCUGCUGUGGGGAGAAUUCCACAGUUCCAGCUGCGUUUGGGUUGGAGUGAAAACCGCGUCAGAACUGCCCCUGGGGAGACGAAGCGUCAGGCUUCUCCACGGGGACGGCUGGUAAAACAGUGUUUCAUUGUGACUUGGAGAGGUUUCUACGAAAAAAUUCACAUUUUUUAUAAUACAAAAAUAUUCCCAAGCGAAAAAUACACGUUUUUUGUUCUGAAAACUCAUGGUUUUUUUCUUCCUAAGUGAUUCCUUUUCCCUUGUCUGUGUUCUCUCAGUCACGGAGCUGAACGGGAAGGGUUUUAUCAGAGCGCCUCACAUGAGCUCUUUUUUAUUCUCUUUCAGGGAUUAUGCUUUUUCCUCUGAUGCGUCCAAACAGAUCCUUCAGCUGCUGGGAAAGCGCUGGCAGCUCCAGGUCAGCACCGCCAGCCUGGGGUGGAGCUGAGCAGACACAGGAGCCGCUCUCCUUUCCACGGAGAAAACAGACACCGCCCACCGCCAGGAUAACUGUUGCGUUUGGUAUUUUCACAGAUUGUUCGCAAUGCAGGUAAGGGAACUGGAUUUUUUUGUUUGUGAGGUACCAGCGGGACGUCAC